GUAGAGGAAGUCUAUUUAUUACAGCACAUCUGAAUAUUUUAUAAAUGUAUAUACGCUAAAUACAAUUAUAAUCAAUUUAACAGCAUAUUCCUAGUAUAAAGUGAGAGCAAGCUAAACUGUAGCAAGAUGUAUAUACUCACUAACAUGACUUCAAAAGAUGGAUACAAAAUCCUGCAAUUGCCAAAUUAAAAAAAAAUAUAUGUGCCAGUUCAUUAACAAUUUAGGAAUUAGUCAGAAACCACAGUAUACAUUUUCGUCUAUUUCAUUUAUCCAUUUUAUUAUAAUAUACUAACAUAUUAUUACCUUUCUAUCUCUCAUUAGUCAUAUGUUACGUAUAGCCAUUUCCAAAUAAACCCACUUACAGACAUGUUUGACAUUAAUAUUACUAUAUAGUCAUUAACAUUUUUUUCAUAUGAAAAAAAAACAUAAUUUGUAAUUACAUGAGACGCUCCAUCAUCUGUCUCACGUGUUUACAAUUUAUUUUCAAAAAUCAUCUGGAUUACUGUCUUUAACCCCUUAAUGACACAACUUCUGGAAUAAAAGGAAUCAUGACGGAAUAUUUGCUGCCUUAUGAGUGAUCCAGUUCUGCCUCAGAUGUCUGAGAUUGAAUGGAGUCACACACCUGGGCAGCAUGUUUUUUUCUGGUGUGCGCAUUUGCUAGCGGCUGAAUAACUUUACACAGGUAAACUGGAGCAUAAAAAUAUAUCAAACACAAUAUAACAUUUGUCUUUGACAAAUUCCAACAAAAGUACUUGCACCAUUGCACCACACAAAAGUAAUAAAUAGGUUAUAUCUGUUCAUAAUAAAGGAGGUAGAAAGAGAAAGGAAUAAAGACCUCUGUAAAAGCUAUAAAAUGUCUUCUAGUGCAGAACUGCCAUUUGCAAACAAGUAGGGAAAUGGUGACCAAUAUUGGCAUUGCAUAUAACUUUGGACUACAUUCCAAUGGACUACAUUGGACACAUAAUCUCAUCAUUGGAGAACAUUACAGGUUGAAUGAGAUAUAUAUUGAAUAAUGCAUUUAAAAAAAUGUAUAAAGGUUUGAGCAGGCUAAUACCAUACAAGACAUUGUACAACAUUUCCUGGCAACCCACAUCCAGCUGGAUGACCCAAGUAUAGCUGGUAGUUAGGGACAUUAAUGCAUUUUCCUUUUAAAUGAUACUGACAGUGCGUCACAUAAUUGUAUAACUGUAGCUAUCUCAAGAGUAGAGAGGGUAGUAAAUUAACAUUACAUUCACAAAUACAUGCAACAGGCAUGCAUUAGAAUAUUGGUGUGAGUGUGUACAUGUAUGACCACAGCAAAAUCAGAUAGUAGCCAUCCUGGUAGAUUUUGGGUGUUAGUUAUCAGAUCAUUACAGCCCUCUACUCAUAUUUGUUUCAUUAGGAUGCUGGGUCUGUACUUUUAUUCUCUCUGCUUCAAAAAAACUCUCAAACUCACCAACAUCCCUUGUUGUUGGCAUCUAUUUCUGACUCCUUCAAUCUAUUGUGCCCAUUGAUGUACCAAUAUUGUGUCAAUUUCAUCCAUUUAACGACAUUUGUAGCAAUUUUAGUUGUUUACUACUCUAUUUCAGGCCAAUGUAAAUGGAGAGCUUCCCUGAGUAUCUACAUUUGAAGAAACUCACAAACAACUGUGGUCUGGAAACAUUUCCCUUGAGUCAAUGAAGACAUAACGUGAGCAAACCUGGCAAAAUGUAUAAAGUGCAGUGUGAUUCUAAAAACAAUUAUCUCACCUAGCACUCCAUAUAUUUCCCUAUGAGAGUUUUGAAGACUAGACUAGACUUUAUGUACACCUUGAAGCAUAACUGUACAUUAUUUUACAGUUGACCACUAACCUACAGGAUAAAAGUGGUGAAUAUUUGAGGAUAGUAUCAAUACAUAUAGAUAGAUAGAUAGAGAGAGGGAGCAUUUUGAAUAUACUUGAAGAUAAAAAGUCGGGAUUCUUAAUAAAGAAUAAGUGAAUGAGGCAGGAGUAAACAUCCUAUUAUAAUUGUCUUGUACAUUACGUUUGAACUAAAUAAAUAUGGUCAUCAAAUAAAUGGUACAUUGAGAUAAAUCACAACCCAAGUCCUAAAUAUACAUCCAAAGAUCCCAAGGCACAAAGCCUACAGAUGCC
rnacentral:lncRNA from 1 species